rnacentral:rRNA from 1 species
UACGUAGGGUCCGAGCGUUGUCCGGAAUUAUUGGGCGUAAAGGGCUCGUAGGCGGUUCGUCACGUCGGGAGUCGAAAACUCGGGAGCUUAACUCCGAAACUGCAUUCGAUACUGCCGUGCUUGAGGACUGGAGAAGGAGACUGGAAUUUACGGUGUAGCGGUGAAAUGCGUAGAUAUCGUAAGGAAGACAGUGGCGAAAGGCGGGUCUCUGGACAGAUUCCUGACGCUGGAGGCACGAAGGUCAGGGGAGCAAACGGG